rnacentral:rRNA from 1 species
CUGCCAGUAGUCAUAUGCUUGUCUCAAAGAUUAAGCCAUGCAUGUCUAAGUAUAAGCAUUUUAUACAGCGAAACUGCGAAUGGCUCAUUACAUCAGUUAUAGUUUAUUUGAUAGUUACUGCUACAUGGAUACCGUGUGGUAAUUCUAGAGCUAAUACAUGCACCAGAGCCCGACUGGCAACGGAAGGGUUGUAUUUAUUAGACACAAAACCAAUGCAGGGGCGUCAGCUCCUGGGAGUUGGUGAGUCAUAGUAACUGCGCGAAUCGCAUGCCCUCGUGGCGGCGAUGAUUCAUUCAAAUUUCUGCCCUAUCAACUGUCGAUGUCAGGAUAGAGGCCUGACAUGGUUAUAACGGGUAACGGAGAAUUAGGGUUCGGUUCCGGAGAGGGAGCCUGAGAGAUGGCUACCACUUCUAAGGAAGGCAGCAGGCGCGCAAAUUACCCAAUCCUGAUACAGGGAGGUAGUGACAAGAAAUAACAAUACAGGUCCCAAUACGGGCCUUGUAAUUGGAAUGAGUACAAUUUAAACCCCUUAAUGAGUAACAAUUGGAGGGCAAGUCUGGUGCCAGCAGCCGCGGUAAUUCCAGCUCCAAUAGCAUAUAUUAAAUUUGUUGCAGUUAAAAAGCUCGUAGUUGGAUUUUGGAAUAGGGAACAACCGGUCUGCCGGUUGGUAUGCACUGUUGUUCCCAUUCUCAUCUGAUGGAAACUUAUCUCUACUCUUAAAUGAGCGGAGAGUAGAUCAGUGAGAAUAAUACUGAGUUAAAUAUCUUUUGAUAUUUAAUUUCAUGUUAUUCAAUCACUCCUACUUUUGUAAGUUCCAUCUCAUUUACUUUGAAUAAAUUAGAGUGUUUAAAGCAGGCGAUUUUUUGCCAUUGAAUACAUUAGCAUGGGAUAAUAGAAUAAGACUUCAGUUCUAUUUUCUAUUGGUUUUUAGAACUGAAGUAAUGAUUAAUAGGGAUAGUUGGGGACAUUGGUAUUUAAUUGUCAGAGGUGAAAUUCUUGGAUUUAUGAAAGACUAACUUCUGCGAAAGCAUUUGUCAAGGAUGUUUUCAUUAAUCAAGAACGAAAGU